rnacentral:rRNA from 1 species
AUUGAACGCUGGCGGCAUGCCUUACACAUGCAAGUCGAACGGCAGCACGGGGCAACCUGGUGGCGAGUGGCGAACGGGUGAGUAAUGCAUCGGAACGUACCUUUCAGUGGGGGAUAACGUAGCGAAAGUUACGCUAAUACCGCAUAUUCUGUGAGCAGGAAAGCAGGGGAUCGCAAGACCUUGCGCUGAUUGAGCGGCCGAUGUCAGAUUAGCUAGUUGGUGAGGUAAAGGCUCACCAAGGCGACGAUCUGUAGCGGGUCUGAGAGGAUGAUCGGCCACACUGGAACUGAGACACGGUCCAGACUCCUACGGGAGGCAGCAGGGGGGAAUUUUGGACAAUGGGGGCAACCCUGAUCCAGCCAUGCCGCGUGAGUGAAGAAGGCCUUCGGGUUGUAAAGCUCUUUCGGCCGGGAAGAAAUCGCACGGGCUAAUACCCUGUGUGGAUGACGGUACCGGAAUAAGAAGCACCGGCUAACUACGUGCCAGCCGCCGCGGUAACAC